CACACAUACACGCACACACACACGCACACAAACACUAUUCUAAUUAAUGAUUUAAUUGCCCUCUGGAGGUGACAUUUUACUGAGAAGCAGUUUGGAAAACCAACGAUGUGUACUCGCCGGUAAAGCGCCUGCGACAAGAUCCCAUUUCAGAUGUACACUUCACAGGUCUGUGGGGAAACCGCGAAGAAAAUAAAACGCAUAGACCUGGAGAAAGCCGGCUAUUAAACAUAAAACUAUAUUAGCAUGAGGCAUAUUCUCUGAACAGGCCUCACCUUCAGCCAGAGCCGGAAACUCUACAUCCCCGACACGUUGGCUGCGGGGAAUGAUCACCAACAUCAGGAGGUGCUGAUAGCGCACAGGAGAUAACUUGUUGGAAGACACAAACAACAGGCGAGUUCAUCAGGACUGUUUCUCCACGUAAAUAAAACCCACUCCUGCUCUGCCGAGGAGCCCCUGGAGGCGGUCGCGGGCCCCGGAGAGCCGGCACGGCGCCCGUCGGAGGGGACACGGUCGAGGGGUUCUCUUCGAGGGAACUUUUAAUUUGAAAGAGUCAACAUCUCUCCCCGUCUGAUGCAACGCUUCCAGUGCGUGUCUCGUGUCGGGACGUAGAUCUGUGUCAGGUAGAAGCUGCACACACACACACGUUAUGCUGCUCGUCAGUCGUCGUUUGAGCUGAAGACCCGCUUGGCGUGCCGCCAGCAUGCAAAAGAAACAAAACAAAACUCAAAC
ensembl:lncRNA